GUAAAACUAGGUUAAAUGUAGGUAUGAAUUUUCAUCUAAUUCCGAUAAAAGAUUUUUUGUAGAUUGUGAAAUUUUAUAAUCUUAUUUAUUUUGCAAACAUCUAGACAAUGUAAAAAACAAAUUACAUAUUAAUUAAUUAAUAUUGACCCGAAUGUCUUAUAAAAUAUAUUCAAACCCCUAUUGGCAUCUUCCCUAUUGGCUUUUCGAAGUGGGGAGGCAGGGUAGUAGUAGUAGGGGUAACGGGAAGGCUGAUAAGAACUGUCGUUAUUCUAAUAAGGGCCUGUAGCCAUGUGGCACGUAGAUUCUCUUUCUACAAACGCUAACGCUUCCUAAACUAAAACUAAUGUAUUGCAAUGACAGAUCCGGUCGAUAACUCACGUGACUUGUCGAUAACAAAUGUCAUUCCUAUAAGUACAUUUUUUAUUUUCGAAGUGUUUGCGAUUUUAGAAAGAGAAUCGAAGCGGCACAUGGCUAUACAUGUUAGGAGAAGAAGAAGAAAUACUUUAUUGCACACAAAAAUACAAUUAUAAAUUAAAACAAUAUAAAGAUAAAUUAACUUAGCAUGCAAAGGCGGCCUUAUUACUAAAAGUAAUCUCUACCAGGCAACCCCUGACGAGAGAACUUGCGAAGAAAGAGCGGGAAGGUGCAAUGCAUUAAAUGUAAUUAUAUAUAUAAAUAAUUAAAUAAAUGUAAUAUAAUAUAUACGUGAAUAGAAUAUUAAAAUUUACAUAUGCAUUACAUAACAUACAUACAUAAUUAUUCCUGACUGUUAUGGGUUUUUUUUAAAUUUUAAUUUGUCGUUUAUUUGUCUUUUUAGUACUAGACUUAACAACGCAUAACUUUUUAAAUUCCUAUUAACAUUUUAUUAUAGUGUAUACGUGUAUAAUACCUAUAAAAAUAAAUAAAUAAUUGGUUGAGUAGUUAUGCCGCGAAAAGGUAACCGAAAAAGAGACAGACAGAUUGACAGACUUACGUGCUUUUGCAUUUCUAAUAUUAGUACCUAUAGAUGGAUACUGUUUAUCUUUUAUAUAACUAAUCUUACAUAAAAAUUAUUUAUAAAAUUCAAAUUAAAUAUUAUUUUGCCUUAAUUUUGCUACGACAUUAUAUUGUACCUACAUUUAUAAAAUACAAUUGUUAGAUUUUUAAUUAUUUAAAUAAUUAUAAAUACAUAAGACAACAUAUAAAAACUCCUUCUUCCAGAUAAAUGUUUUAAUCUGUACUGUUUAUUAAUGAUAAUGGUUUUAUUCUGAGGUUGGUAGGGUAUUGUGAUACAUACUCUAUGUAAAAGAGGCGAACAUGCGAUUAUGUGGCGUGAAGUUUAUUUAAUUAAUGUAUUAUCCAUCUACCAAAAAGUGAGAGUACCUACGAACACGAUGUCAUUACCUACAUUAAAGUCGAUCUACAGAAAGAAAAUGUAACGGCAUUUAAAUGAAGUGUGAAUUUGGGAAACAGUGGUUUACAUUACGAGAAAUGCGAUAAAAAUCAUACGUGUGUACAACCAUUAAGUAUGUAUACCACUGACGGCUAUGGGACGCACGCCGCAUGGUCCCGGUAAAAGUAUUUAUGCGAUGUCGGUUGUCGAUGCUUACAAUAUCUAACAAGAAUGAAGAAACGUAAACGUAACACACUUAUACCAUGUUGACGAUAUUUAUGAGCAAAACAGUCAAACAGUCCAACAGCACUCAUAAGAGGAUAUUAUUUGAAAAACUGCGAGAGAACAGAGAAGAACGUGUAAAUUAAUAACAAAAUACAAAGAUGCAUGUGUGGUGUUAGCUGCAGAGUUAUAUGAGAUGGAAUCCUGUUGGUUUGACGGAUGAGAAAUACCAAUGAUGUCUAAAUAUAUUAAACUAGGUGUCUGGUGAGUUUUAUUAGUUUGAUUAAACAGCCUCAUAAAUUAUUCAGUUGUGACUAAUAUGAAAUAAAAUUACAAAGAAUAAAUAAUCACUAGGUGAAACUAAGUAUGGUUGAUAGGUUGUCAGUUUGUCUGGCUUAUUGUCAAAACAUUUUUGUUAGAUGACUAUAUCUAGGAAACCAAAAUCAUUUAAGUGAAAAGUACACACACACACACACACAUACACACUGCUCAAGAAAUUAACGUAUGAAGACAGACCACUCUAGGGUUGUUAGGAUGUAGGACACUGGCAUAAUGUAAUAUUGAGAAAUCUUAAUUAUAGAACUACAUUACAUCCGUUGCUGACAUGGGACUAAAAUGAAUUAACAAAAAUAUUGUUUUUUUUUGUGCCUGUAACUUCAAACUAUACAUUUGUUAUAUGUGAGUUUUUAUGACUGAAUAACAUAAAAAUUAAAAAUAUAUGAAGUUUAAUGGUUCAAGUAUUAUUUUAGGCCUUGAUGUAGGUACCUGAUAACAAGUUUUGAGACAGCUAUUACAAUAUUUUCAGAUAGGAUUUGCUUAGAUAUAUCAUUAUGUAGAUUACUGUAUGUACUUAAUAUAAAUUUUUUUAAAUCUUUUAAGAAAUUGGAUUGAUAGAUUUCUUGAAAAAUAAAUUUGUAGUUAUGUUUGAAAACCUAUUUAACUAUUCAAGCGUUGACAACAUGCCUUCAGCCUAUUUAGUAUAGAACAGUUAUUAACAAUCUGCAGCAACACAGUAAAUGAUUCUUAUCCAUGAAUAUUAUUAUAUUCGGCUUAUCUACAAGAGUACUAAGAGAUAUUAUGAUAUUCAUCUUAAUGAAAUCUUAUAAUUAAUUAAAUUGGAGAUUUUUUUUUAGGGUGAUAUUAAAAAGUUACUUGUGUGACAAUUGAGUAAUAAAUAAUUAAUUAUAAUAAUAUCAUUGAUCACAAAUUGUCUUAGAGCCCAGUCUGUAUGGACUUCAAGUAAAGAGACACAGAUUGCCAUAAAUAGGUUGUAAAAUAUUUGUCUAAGACAUAUUUUGACAGUUUUGUGGGUGGGUGACGUUGGGCUCUCUUUUCAUUAAUGGUCAUGUGCAGAUGUAUAGAUUCUACAUACAAGUAAAUUAACCAUACUAUUGCUGUUGUUUUAGAUUCAAUCAAUCAGUUUAUUAUUUGCAGAUACACUAGUGUAUUUAAUCCAUGUCUCAUUUGUUUAUUUCUAUAGUCAGAUUGAGUAGGUAUUUUAAACUAUGUAAACAAACAAAAACAGCUGACUCAGGUUUGCUCAACAUUUUAUCAUUAUUUACGAAUAUUAUCAUGAAAUAAAACUUCCUGUGGUAAACAAAUAUUUUUUUAAUUUUAUAUUCCUAUAUAAUAUAUCCUGUUAUUUAUCAAACAGAUAAUGCUUCACUUAUAUUAAGGGUUCCGUAGGCAAUAAAGAACUCUUAUAGUUUUGUUUCUUUAUUAUGUAGAAGCAAGCAUAAGGUUUCCUCGACAUAUUUAAACACAUUAAUCAAAACGGUUUUCUCGGAGGACGAUAAGGGUGAUUGAUUCGUACGUUUCUUUUUUGGUGACGGAAACAAUAGCAACGCGGAAUAACUGCUCCGGCUAGUACCAGGCUCCGGUUCACUAAUUUUCGUACUAAACUAAAUAAAAUUAAUUAAUUAAACUGAUAAAAAACCCGACUGCAUAAAUGAUAAAAAAACUGAAAAGAAAAAAAAAGCUCAGUCCAGAAGUGUAGAAAACAAUUAGAAAACAGUCGGGACCUAUUAUAUUGAAUAGAAUUUCGUCUACAUUUUUUAUUAGGUCCCGACUUUAGUUUGAUCAAUUUUUAUAUCAUUUAUGCCGGGUUUUUAUAUUUGUUUAAUUAAUUAAUUUAUUUCACACUUUUUAGUUACGAUAGAUGGUGAAUUUCGGAUUUAUUGGUUACGUUUGUUACAAAGUACGAUAAUGUAUACCUAAGUCCAACCGAAAUUAAGUAAAUAUUCAAAAAAUCUACGCAACCCUCGGUGGCCGAAUCCGACUCGCACUUGUCCGAUUUUUAUAAUCAAUAUAUUUCUUUUAGUCUAUUUUAGGUGUUUUAUAACUACACUUCAUAAACCUCGCACCUUAUAGUCGUCCGCCUCGCGUAUUAUGUAUAGACUUAAUUAAUAUUAGAAUUAAUAAAUAACGUUUUCCUAAUUGUAGUUUUUUUAACAUGGCCAUGAUAUACUAUUUUGAAAUUCUCACAAAAAUCCCUUGAAUUUGAUUCGCAUGUUGAAAUAUUCACAAAAAAAAAAACUUCACCCCGAUUCUAUAGCGUCUCACAGUCGUCUUGUUGGUUUUUUUUUUCUAAUUUCACCUAUCUAAGAACACUUGGGUUAUUAAAACAAAUCUAACGUUAUCUGAAUUACGUAAAUCCGUUCAACGGUUUGGAAGAUAUGAGGUAAUAAAGAAUAUUACAUACAUACAUACAAGAUACGCGCGAAAAACAUAACCCUUCUUGCAGUCGGGUAAAAACAGUAAACAAACAACAAAUAAACUAUAAUUAACAAUAACAACGAAACGAGAACAAAACGAAAUAACAAAAAUUACAAGGGAAGAAAAUACGCACGACAGACUGGAUUUAGUUAAAGAAUCAUUAACGAAUACUGAUAUAUAAGUAGGAGUAUUAGUCAUAGACAGCAAAUAAAGUAGUGUUCUGUGCUGUGAAGUGUGAACUGUCAAAUGUCAAAUCUUCUUUCACUUAUUAAUACAAAAUCAAAAAAAUUAUCAUAGUAUAUGGUAAUUCUGCAAUAAAUGAAAGGUUAAAUUCACAUUAAAAUAAAAGAAAUCAUCGUUUUAAUUACAACUUCUUUCUUCUUUUGAUAUGAAAAUACGACAUUUAUAAAAUAAUUAAAGUUAUAAUUUAAUUUUAUAAAUGCACAUUUAAUACCCAUAAAACUCAAUAUCUUUAUUUUUCAUAAUGGUUUGUGACUCAUGUCUGCUUGGGUUCUUUUUAUGUCGUUUGUAUUGUUUUUGUGCAAACUCUAUAUAUUUAACAUAGAGGAAUUAGAAAUGGAAAUGGAUCGCACCCAAAUGCAGCAACAAAAUUGUCUGUCGUUUUUUGAAGGGUACGAGGUAAACUCAGUCAUCGAUAAUAUUUAACAAAAAUAAAUAAUAAAAUAUUUAACAAGAAUAAUAUAAUCUGUACACAGAAUAUUAAAUUAAUGGAUCGAUGUUUUGCUGUUUGUUCGUUCGUUAGAAGAAUAGUAUCUAUUUUUCUUUUAGAUAUGCUUGUUUUUAUUACAAAUUUAUUAUUUAUUAUAAUUAUGUUUUUGAUGACCUCCGUGGCGCAGUGGUAUGCGCGGUGGAUUUACAAGAAGGAGGUCCUGGGUUGGAUUCCUGACUGGGCUGAUUGAGGUUUUCUUAAUUGGACCAGGUCUGGCUGGUGGAAGGCUUCGGCCGUGGCUAGUUACCACCCUACCGGCAAAGACGUCCCGCCGAGCGAUUUAGCGUUCCGGUACGAUGCCGUAACCGAAAGGGGUGUGGAUUUUCAUCCUCCUCCUUACAAGUUAGCCCGCUUCCAUCUAAGACUACAUCAUCACUUACCAUCAGGUGAGAUUGUAGUCAAGGGCUAACUUGUAAACAAUAAAAAAAAAAAUCUUAGAUUGCAUCAUCGCUUACCAUCAGGUGAAACUGAAAUCGAACGUCACGUCAUCUUUUAGUGAAUUAGAAGUUGUUGACCAUUUUUCAUGCCAUUGAACUACUUACUACACAAACCGGAAUGAUUAGGGAGUUUUUUCAGUCGACGAAAACGAUUACAACAAUGAAACAUCGAUACGAUAUAAGUAUACACGCGUUAGAUCGUUGAUUGAUUGACAGAGAGGUAACGUCUUGCGAGGCAGGUCCUUCUAUAAUUAGUCCAAGAUAAUUAAUUAAUUGUAUGUGAAUCCGGGCUCAAAAGGGCUAGAACCCAGAGCCGUAAAGCUUAUUAUUAAAAAUAAAAUGUAUGUAAAUCGAAACGAAAAGUGUCGCUUAAAAGAACCUUUUUGAGUAGUAUUAUUGUUGUGUAAAAAACCUAAAGUUGUGGACUAUAGCAUUUUAUUAGAUUGCAACAUUUUGUAUAAUUAUGAAAAUUAGUAAUUAUUAUGGGGUUGUGGUUAGAAUUAUAUAUUCGGAUGGUUACAAUGAUAUGUGCAUAAGGUUUUAACUAGGGUAUACUAGUACACUAAAGGUAAAAAAAAAAAUUAGAAAAUUCCUUGGCCAACAUAUUAAGUGGUAUAGGUUUUGAAUAUAGAUUUGUAUUGGGUCCUUAGGUAGUCAGUACAUUUGUGCAUCUACAAAGUGCACGCCACCGAGUUGUUGGUACCUGCAUGCAACUGAUGGGUGGUCUGCAUCAAGUAUGAAUCAAUAUAGAGACUUAAAUCAUUACAUCAGUAAAAUAAUUAAUGGAUAUAGCCAAAAAAAAAAAAAAAGAAAUUUAACAGAAUUAAAAAAAAAAGAAUAUACUAAAAUUAAUGAAUAGGUAAAACCUCUGAUAGCAAACUAGAGGUAUAUAACAAAGGGGGUGGUCUGGUCUAAGACAGGUUUAUGCUACUAUUAUUACAAAAAAGGGGGUAGUCUGAAGAUAAUUAUACAAUACAUAGUCAAAUAUCAUCUUUUCUUAUCUAGUGAUAACUACUAGGAUUGGAUUACAUACUAAAAUUAUUACAAUCAUAAAUCGCAAUAUUUUCAAGAAGUCUUUAUUAUCAUUAAAAAAAAAAAAGCAUUUAUUUAAGAGAAAGAGUCUUUUGUCUGAAUUAAAGUAAAUUGAUAGAUUAACACAUGUUUAACAUUUUAUUUCAUUUUAUGUACCGGGUCUAAGGUUCAUUCAAUUAUAGACUGAUUUUCUCUUGGAUGCUAGGUAUGCUAGUUAUGUUAAAUUAAAUUAUUUGUCAAACAAGUAUGAUAUUUAUCUGAACGAUUAAGUGACUGAGCUAUGUGAUACUGUGUGAAAAUAUUUGAUUACAGAUCCGAGAUGCAUGGAUAUUGAUUGAUGAAUAUGGGAUAUAUGAGAUUCUCAUGAUAAUCAUUGGGUUGAACACAGCCCUAUUCGACAGUUGACCCAAAUCACAAAGAUGAGAGAAGUUACACUAUGUAUUGAUAACACACGAUUUAAAUUUAGUAUUUUUAUUUAUGAUAUGAUGAUAUUAUAAUUAUGUAUUAUAUUGAGAGUUAUUAGUUUUGAUAUCAUAUAUACAUAUAUUUUAAAUAUUUGCUCACAUCCAUGAUGUUAUUCAUUAAUUAUGACUUACUGAUGACGAUUUGUGUUUUGGUAAAAUUUUAAUAUAAGGAUAGAUGUAUUACACAGGCCGACACGAUUUUCGUUGUCCAAGAUAUAAUUAUUUUUUUUCUACUGAUUUUGUAGUGCUGAUUACGAAAUCAGACCUAAUUUUAUCAUAUCACAUCAGAUUUUUAGUAAAAUUAAUAUAUUCGCUAGUUUUGAUUUUUCAGUGAAAUUUUCGAGUUUUGGCACUCUUUCUUUGAAUUAAGCGACCUCUCAUGAGAAAUUACUUCAGUUAUAACAACGACACACCUAUUUGUAACGCGUUUCGUGGAAAUAAGCUGUUAUAGUGCCUUUGUUAAAAAAAAAUAUAUAUAUAUUUUAGUUAAUGGUUUUUUUUGUUGUUGGAAAACGUCUGAUAAACAUAACGUCUUCUAUAAAGUGUCACAAUAGUCCAGAUAUAUUUUGUUACAUUUGUUGAAACUUUAUGAUUCUAAGCAAAAACUGAAAAAUUUGUGGAAAAUAUGUAUAAUAAAUAUGUAGCUUAUUUUGACUUCAAAAUACAAAUAAAAUCGUGGACUCUGCAGUUUGUACUAAUCGUGUUGAACAAUUAAGGCAGUGGACACUGGACAUACAGCAAAAGACAAUCUCUACCUUUUGGUACUACCUAUGAUAUAGUGAAAGCAAGACAAUCAUACAGAUAUUGUUAUUUUUGCUGUAUGUUAGAAGCUUUUAAAGUAAAAUUUGUUUUCCUUUUUGUAAAAAAAAUUGAUGUGAUAGAUUAAUUGUGCAGGUAUUUUUGUGUUCAAAAUACUAUAAAUUACUGAUAAUUUUUACUGAAAUCAAAACAACGUUCAAAAAGUAUUCAUUUGUCGGCCGGUGUUAUCGAUAAUAUUUUAGAUAGUAUUAUAGUAUAGUAGUGUUAUGACGACUAAUAUACCGUUAUUUGUUUUGUGAAUGAUUAUGGAUAUAUUUGUUGUAUAAUAAUUUCUCUAUUGAUUAUUACACAGCAAAAUAAAAUAAAUAAAUAAAUAUAAAAAGAUUCCAACGAAUUGAUAAACUCCUUUUUUUUGAAGUCGUUUAAAAAUGUAUGUAUAUGUAUUUAUAUCUGAUUUUAUAUUUUGAUUAUCUUCUAUCACAUGUCAUCUGGAAGUCUAACACGAUCAUGAAGUCCUGUAACUAUAUUAGUUCUGAACUUGAUGGUGAGGGGUUCGGUGCAGAUGCAACACAUCAUCUGGAAGUCUAACACGAUCACAAAGUCCUGUAACUUUACUAGUUCUUGACUUGGUGGUGAGGGGUUCGGUGCAGAUGUCACACAUCAUCUGGAAGUCUAACACGAUCACAAAGUCCUGUAACUUUACUAGUUCUUGACUUGGUGGUGAGGGGUUCGGUGCAGAUGUCACACAUCAUCUGGAAGUCUAACACGAUCACAAAGUCCUGUAACUUUACUAGUUCUUGACUUGGUGGUGAGGGGUUCGGUGCAGAUGUCACACAUCAUCUGGAAGUCUAACACGAUCACAAAGUCCUGUAAUUUUACUAGUUCUGGACUUGGUGGUGAGGGGUUCGGUGCAGAUGUCACACAUCAUCUGGAAGUCUAACACGAUCACAAAGUCCUGUAACUUUACUAGUUCUGGACUGGGUGGUGAGGGGUUCGGUGCAGAUGCCAUUAAUCGAUGAUGACGAAUUUGACAAAUAUAAAUAAUGUUUUGAAAUGAUGAAAAUAGAUAAGUUGAUUGACAAAAGCUUCACAUGAACAUUAUGUUUAUUUAUAAUAUGUAUCACUCUUAUUCUUAUUUAACAUUUUUAUGAUAAAAGUAUAUAGAAGAAAUCAAGAAUUUCAUUAUAGUUUCAUUGGAUUCUUUUAAAUAACUUAUGGGAUGCUGUGUGAUAAUUAAUUAUAAAAUUUUAUUGUUAACAUUGUUCUAUUUAUAGUUGAUAUUAUAGUAAUGUCAUAAUUUCAUGAUAUUCUUGUGUUGUUUGGGGACAAACUUUUAGUAAGGAUGGCCGAAUAUUAGAAGAUAAAGACAUUACAUUUGUAAAUAUUACAUAUCGUCUAUGUACUUAAUGCUUUAAAUUAAUCUACUACUCUGUCUAAGUUAAUUACAAUAUUUAAUAAGUCUCUGUCUAGAGUAAAGCUCCCUCUUGUCAUCUGGAAGCUCAGACAAAUAUUAGAAGAUAAAGACAUUACAUUUGUAAAUAUUACAUAUCGUCUAUGUACUUAAUGCUUUAAAUUAAUCUACUACUCUGUCUAAGUUAAUUACAAUAUUUAAUAAGUCUCUGUCUAGAGUAAAGCUCCCUCUUGUCAUCUGGAAGCUCAGACAAAUAUUAGAAGAUAAAGACAUUACAUUUGUAAAUAUUACAUAUCGUCUAUGUACUUAAUGCUUUAAAUUAAUCUACUACUCUGUCUAAGUUAAUUACAAUAUUUAAUAAGUCUCUGUCUAGAGUAAAGCUCCCUCUUGUCAUCUGGAAGCUCAGACAUACAUAAGACCUACCUCACUAGAUGUUGUUUUUCGUCAAAGUACAUGAUUUACUUGUAUGAUCUAAUGCGAUUAUAAGAACUGUCUCAGUAGAAUCGAGGUUUCAUAGUUAUAACUUUAUAUUAACAUAACUUUUAGUUUAGUUUAGGAAUGACAAAAUGACAGACAAUUUUGUCAUGAAUUUGGGUAAUUGGACUGAAUCUGGAAGUGAUUAAAGAUUGAAUUUAUUUCAAAUUUGUAAAAACAAGAAUUAACAUACCAGUUUAACUGAAUUUAAGUGUUUGGAUUUUUAUCAAUAGAAUCACUAUCAAAAUCUGUAUAGGUCUGUAUUCACAAUUUGUAAAUAUUGAAUGAGAAAUCUGUUAAACUAUAAUUAUAUAAUUCUUAAAGAAUAAUUAAAUGUAUUGUAGGGUGUUUCAACAUAUUGUUAAAUCAAGGUUUAAAAUUAGAAAAUAUCUGUAAUGACAAAAUUGAAUUUUACUACUUGUAAAUCAGUGAAUUUAGCAAGUAGUAAUAAUAAUAGAUUAAUUGGGACUCACUUUUGUUAUAAUUAGAAAUUAUUGGAGAAUUAAUGAUUUGUGGUAAUAAACAUAAAUUAAAAUUUUAAAUACUAUGAGACAUAGUUCAGUGAAUCUUUAUAAUAAUGUAAUGUUAGAAUUUAUUUGUGUUUACAAAGUUUGAGGACAAACUUGUAGUCAGUAUGGCCGAAUGUUAGAUUUUUAAUUAUUUAAAUAAUUAUAAAUACAUAAGACAACAUAUAAAAACUCCUUCUUCCAGAUAAAUGUUUUAAUCUGUACUGUUUAUUAAUGAUAAUGGUUUUAUUCUGAGGUUGGUAGGGUAUUGUGAUACAUACUCUAUGUAAAAGAGGCGAACAUGCGAUUAUGUGGCGUGAAGUUUAUUUAAUUAAUGUAUUAUCCAUCUACCAAAGUAACGAUUUGUUUAAGAAUGAGUAAUAAGUUAUUUGAAAUACAGUUUAUACAUUCCA